rnacentral:rRNA from 1 species
AUUGAACGCUAGCGGGAUGCCUUACACAUGCAAGUCGAACGGAGUGGAGAACGGGUGAGGAAUGUAUCGGAACGGGACCAGGAGCGGGGGAUAACUACGAGAAAGCGUAGCGAAGACCGCAUAAUAUGGGAGCGGACGAUAUCGGAGUAGCUAGAUGGUGGGGUAACGGCUCACCAAGGCGACGAUCCGUAGCUGGUUUGAGAGGACGACCAGCCACACUGGGACUGAGACACGGCCCAGCCUCCUACGGGAGGCAGCAUUGGGGAAUUUUGGACAAUGUGGGAAACCCUGAUCCAGCCAUCCCGCGUGUGCGAUGACGUCCUUCGGGUUGUAAAGCACUUUUGGCAGGAAAGCGGUACCUGCAGAAUAAGCACCGGCUAACUCCGUGCCAGCCGCCGCGGUAAUUC